GUCUUGGUGGAGUUUAACAUUCUUACUAAUUCCCUGUUUUAAUUAUCCAACAAAUAAUUGACUAAGCAACAACUAGUGGAAUGAAGUUUUUAUGCCUAGCAAAACAAAACAAAACAAAGACAAACCAUGAAAAAUUUAAGUGAAAAAACACAUAACAUACUAAUACAAUUUGGCAGGAUUUUUAGACCCAUUUUUGUUCUGUAACAACAUCACAACAAUUCAAUCUGUUUAGCACAUAAAGAAAACUGAAAAUUUGGACGGAAGUUUCUCCUGCCAUUAUUCUACUCUCUCAUCAUAUUCGACACGUACAGAACAAAGAGCAAUGCUUUCCUCCAGCUCCAGUGCAACACAAAUGCGGCAGACGACAUUAUUCAUUUGAUCCCAAAAGAAGUGAGACACAAGUAUUAUAACUCUUUCAACUUCCAUUGCUGGUGAAGAAUGCAAGGUGCUCAGAUUUUUUGAAAAACUAUGCAUGGGAAAUUAUUAUGCUGCUUCAGAAAAAGAAGAACCUCAUUUUCCUCCAAAAUUUGAGAUACAUUGUCACUGUGGAUUACAAAACAAUGGCCAAUUGUCCUAUGGUGGCAUCUAGGUUGCCCUCCCAGUGCCACUUAUCUUCUUCUUCUGAUAUAUAGACUCUAUCUAGCUUUGGUGUAUCAAGGACUCCCUUGCAGAAAGCUUGCAUCUGGGGGCAAUGGUUUACAAUUACUUUUUCCAGCGCUGGGAAAAUCAAGGACUGGUAUCCUGCACAAAAGCUUGUAAGGAUUGGCAAAUAAUGAAGUUCCAAAGACUUCAGCUGACUGAAAACAAUCUCAUCUUCCGCCUCGCCUGUCUUAUAAUUGACAAUUUCUGUCAUCAUUCUGCAUUCACUUAUACACAUUCUUGUAAGGUGCAUCAUACUUGCAGCUGUUGAGGGCAUGAUCAAAUUUGUCAAUCCAUCACAAUUUGAUACUUCCAGAGCAGUCAAAAGUUUGAAUGAAACCGAGGAUGGUACUAAAGAUUUCAAGAGGCCACAAUAUGAUAUUUCUAAAGUUUCCAGAUUUUGAAAAAUUAGGCCUAGGCAAGAGUCUUCUUUCCAUAGAUAUUUCAGCCUAGACAGCUUCAAUUUUCUUAACUGUGAGAAAAAGAACUCUGCUAGAAACUCGCUAUGCCAUGUCUCCAUCAUUACACUGUUACCCUCCAAGCUCAGUUCCUCUAAGUUCUGGAAUGUAUCCUUUUCAACCAAGAAUAGAGGAUGUGGAAUUGGGAUUUCAAACUGGCAUGCCCCAAGCAUUUUUUGGAAGCUAUGAUAAUCCAAAGCGACUAUUUCCACUUUAUGACAUCCAUUCACUUCCAAUUUUUUCAACGAUGGCCAUUCUGAAAUAUGUAGCCCAGGAUAGAAACUCCUGAGUUCCGGUAAAGCUUGAAGUCGCAAGUAGGUUACAUGAGGAAACACGAACCU
rnacentral:misc_RNA from 1 species